UGUUGGGCCCAACUUACCACAUGCUAAGAAUUAGCCUAUUAGGUCACCAUUUCUGUACACUUCGUGUAACCAUUUUGCUUCUGCCGUUAUCCUCAUCAGAGCAGCAGCCAGCGACUGGAAAAUUUUGAAGUUCUUGAUUCUGUUCAACAUCUCGUUUCUACAAACUGCAACGGAUGCUUCAACCAAUCAAUCUGAAACAGUGGCUGAAUCAUCUCCAUCAUUUGGCUUACGACAUAGAUGACGUACUCGACGAUUUAGCAAUCGAAGCUAUGCACCGAUGAAUCAGAAACCCACACCAGCAAGUGUAAUUGUCAGCAGAAUUAAGACCGGAGGGUAUGGAGAGCCUCAUCCCCAAGGGGAUGGGCCGCCACGUCACCGCCACGUAAGCGGGGCUUGAAGGGGAUGGACCUAGGGGGUGGGGGAUGAACCCCUUUUUAUAUAUAUAUGUAUGUAUGUAUAGCUGUGUGUGUGUGAGGAGAGAGAAGAGAGGCCCGUCGAACCCGGCUUGUGGAGGACGGAGACGACGCGCCGGGCAUGAGGGGGGCGGUGUGGGGGACCGGAACCGGGCCAGGCCGGCCCCCAUACCCUUUAGUCUAAUGCAAUAAUGUAGCUAUUGGAUUCAUAACAUUGUACUCUGUAUAUUUAAUAGAUCAGGUUACUUAAUAAUUACAAGAUUUUCAUGUUGAAA